AUUGAACGCUGGCGGCAGGCUUAACACAUGCAAGUCGAGCGGAGAUGAGGUGCUUGCACCUUAUCUUAGCGGCGGACGGGUGAGUAAUGCUUAGGAAUCUGCCUAUUAGUGGGGGACAACAUUCCGAAAGGAAUGCUAAUACCGCAUACGCCCUACGGGGGAAAGCAGGGGAUCUUCGGACCUUGCGCUAAUAGAUGAGCCUAAGUCGGAUUAGCUAGUUGGUGGGGUAAAGGCCUACCAAGGCGACGAUCUGUAGCGGGUCUGAGAGGAUGAUCGGCCACACUGGGACUGAGACACGGCCCAGACUCCUGCGGGAGGAAGCGGUGGGGAAUAUUGGACAAUGGGCGGAAGCCUGAUCCAGCCAUGCCGCGUGUGUGAAGAAGGCCUUUUGGUUGUAAAGCACUUUAAGCGAGGAGGAGGCUACCUGGAUUAAUACUCUAGGAUAGUGGACGUUACUCGCAGAAUAAGCACCGGCUAACUCUGUGCCAGCCGCCGCCGUAAUAC
rnacentral:rRNA from 1 species